rnacentral:rRNA from 1 species
GAAGUCGUAACAAGGUUUCCGUAGGUGAACCUGCGGAAGGAUAUUGU